ACGGGUGAGUAAUGCUUAGGAAUCUGCCUAUUAGUGGGGGACAACAUCUCGAAAGGGAUGCUAAUACCGCAUACGUCCUACGGGAGAAAGCAGGGGACCUUCGGGCCUUGCGCUAAUAGAUGAGCCUAAGUCGGAUUAGCUAGUUGGUGGGGUAAAGGCCUACCAAGGCGACGAUCUGUAGCGGGUCUGAGAGGAUGAUCCGCCACACUGGGACUGAGACACGGCCCAGACUCCUACGGGAGGCAGCAGUGGGGAAUAUAGGACAAUGGGGGGAACCCUGAUCCAGCCAUGCCGCGUGUGUGAAGAAGGCCUUUUGGUUGUAAAGCACUUUAAGCGAGGAGGAGGCUACCGAGAUUAAUACUCUUGGAUAGUGGACGUUACUCGCAGAAUAAGCACCGGCUAACUCUGUGCCAGCAGCCGCGGUAAUACAGAGGGUGCAAGCGUUAAUCGGAUUUACUGGGCGUAAAGCGCGCGUAGGUGGCCAAUUAAGUCAAAUGUGAAAUCCCCGAGCUUAACUUGGGAAUUGCAUUCGAUACUGGUUGGCUAGAGUAUGGGAGAGGAUGGUAGAAUUCCAGGUGUAGCGGUGAAAUGCGUAGA
rnacentral:rRNA from 1 species